rnacentral:rRNA from 1 species
GUGCACGCUGGCGGUAGGCCUCACCCCUGCAAGUCGCACGGCAGCACAGUAAGAGCUUGCUCUUACGGGUGGCGAGUGGCGGACGGGUGAGGAAUACAUCGGAAUCUACUUUUUCGUGGGGGAUAACGUAGGGAAACUUACGCUAAUACCGCAUACGACCUACGGGUGAAAGCAGGGGAUCUUCGGACCUUGCGCGAUUGAAUGAGCCGAUGUCGGAUUAGCUAGUUGGCGGGGUAAAGGCCCACCAAGGCGACGAUCCGUAGCUGGUCUGAGCGGAUGAUCAGCCACACUGGAACUGAGACACGGUCCAGACUCCUACGGGAGGCAGCAGUGGGGAAUAUUGGACAAUGGGCGCAAGCCUGAUCCAGCCAUACCGCGUGGGUGAAGAAGGCCUUCGGGUUGUAAAGCCCUUUUGUUGGGAAAGAAAAGCAGCAGGUUAAUACCCCGCUGUUCUGACGGUACCCAAAGAAUAAGCACCGGCUAACUUCGUG